AGUAUUAACCUGAAAUACACAGAGGAUCCAACACCAGUUUUAAAAAUACAUUAACGAGGUAUUCCCAGCUCUUCAAUUAAUAAUGGUGAAUGACUGAUUCAUGAUUUUCAAACAUUCACCCAAAUUUUAAAAAAGAAGAAAAGGCUAAUACCAGCAAAAUCUAUCAGUGGUUUGUUCCCCAGGUUAACAAUUUGAGAGAGACUACAAACGACUCCAGGAGCCCUGGCUUCCCCGCACCAUGCACUGCAUCUAGUCAGCAUGAGGUCAGCAAAACGAAUCAAUGAAACAUGAAAACUCCCAGCUGAGAUGGGCCCUCUUGUGUGCGUCUAGCCACUAAUGCACGGGAUGAGAAUGCGGUCCCAAAGAAAUCUGGUACAUAAAUUUGCCGUAUUUUGUGAAGCCCAUUCUCAGCGAUGGGUACUGUUCAGCUCCAAAAAACAGAAAUGAAGAAAGACGAGGAAAGCUAAUUCAUACUAAAAACAGACAUUUUUAAGACACAGCAACUUGUAAAUAUCAACAUGGGACCACACUGUUGCCUUCAUGGGGCAGCACUCAACAAGAACUGGGACAAUCGAAGAGCAAGUUUUUAUGGGGACCCUGUUGCUGCUUUAGAUUCUGGUGUAAUUGAAGAG